CUCCUCAUAGUUUAAAGGAAGAACACGGGUCUUCUAAACCUGAAAUUGAGGUUCGAAUCCUUAUGGGGAGG
rnacentral:tRNA from 1 species